GAUGAACGCUGGCGGCGUGCCUAAUACAUGCAAGUCGAGCGAAUGAAGAGGAGCUUGCUCCUCUGAUUUAGCGACGGACGGGUGAGUAACACGUGGGUAAUCUGCCUGUAAGACGGGGAUAACUCCGGGAAACCGGGGCUAAUACCGGAUAAUAAAAAGAAACGCAUGUUUCUUUUUUGAAAGUUGGUUUCGGCUAACACUUACAGAUGAGCCCGCGGCGCAUUAGCUAGUUGGUGAGGUAACGGCUCACCAAGGCGACGAUGCGUAGCCGACCUGAGAGGGUGAUCGGCCACACUGGGACUGAGACACGGCCCAGACUCCUACGGGAGGCAGCAGUAGGGAAUCUUCGGCAAUGGGCGAAAGCCUGACCGAGCAACGCCGCGUGAGCGAUGAAGGCCUUCGGGUCGUAAAGCUCUGUUGUUAGGGAAGAACACGUACGAGAGUAACUGCUCGUACCUUGACGGUACCUAACCAGAAAGCCACGGCUAACUACGUGCCAGCCGCCACUGUAA
rnacentral:rRNA from 1 species